AGAAAUUGGAAGGGCGUUCCAGCUGUUGCUGUUCCAUUUGCCCAACUGGCUGAACCACAGAUUGGUUUUAGAAGGUAUUUACUGAGGAAAUUUGGCUUCAUCCAUUAGUGGUUGCAGUUGAAAGCUAUAGCAGUGCCAAGAUUCCAGCCCAGGAUGAUUCUGAUAUAUUUUCUUCAAGCAAAAUAGCCUGAUCUCGGAAGCUACAUGAAAAAGGAGUUGUGUUCAUUUUACAGCAGCAGGAAACUUAUCAUGAAAGACGCAGCAGUCAAAUGCCUUCCACAAGAGAGUGUGUGCUACACAGGAGAUAAAAGCAUCCAGCCGCACCCUAAAAAUGGGAUAGAAGUCAAAGUGCUUCUGCCAUAUGACUACAGCUGUGAAAGCAAUGCCCAAGAUUUUAUUAGGAACCAUAGCCCAAUUAAUAUUGGUAAUAGUGGUAAUAAUUUAACAAGGAAAUUCACUUUCCAUUAGGCCCUCCUCUCAUGAUAUUUGACGGCUUCUUUUAUUCAGCUAUUUUAGUCAUUAGGACCAUUUUCUUCAGUUCUCCCUCAAUUUGAACCUUAAUUGCCCUUUCUUAAAAUAUCAUUGUAAACAUAAACAUGAACUUGAUUUAAAA